GGGAAUUCUGAGAGGAGGUUCUAUAGAUGUAGCACAGCUGAGGGACGAGUUAGACAAUGUGUCUCUGUAAAGAUUCUCGCUAGAGCUGCAGGGACUAGUUACUUGAGAGCAUGUUAACAAGCCUGAGAAUUGGAAAGUCACUACAGAAGAAGUUGGACUCCAUUUCUUAUGAAAAGCACGUUCUAGGGGGUGGAGGGUUUAGAACAUUGAACUCCCU